rnacentral:rRNA from 1 species
UACAUGUGGGGCAAGCGUUGUUCGGAAUUACUGGGCAUAAAGGGUGCGUAGGUGGCUUGUUAAGUCAGGGGUGAAAGUUUUCGGCCCAACCGGAAAAUGGCCUUUGAUACUGGCGAGCUCGAGUGCGUGAGGGGUAACCGGAACGAGCAGUGUAGCGGUGAAAUGCGUAGAUAUUGCUCGGAAGGCCAACGGCGAAGGCAGGUUACUGGUACGCAACUGACGCUGAGGCACGAAAGCGUGGGGAGCAAACAGG